rnacentral:rRNA from 1 species
UUCUGGGAGGAUUGACAGACUGAGAGCUCUUUCUUGAUUCUGUGGAUGGUGGUGCAUGUCCGUUCUUAGUUGGUGGAGCGAUUUGUCUGGUUAAUUCCGAUAGCGAACGAGACUCCAGCCUAUUAAAUAGGUGCGUGGUUCUCUGCACCUUGCCCCAUUCUUAGAGGGACAAGCGGCUCCUAUAGCCGCAGCAAACAGAGCAAUAACAGGUCUGUGAUGCACUUAGAU